GAAAGAAGGACAUGAACAUCUUGGAUGACAUGUGAGUAAAGGAUGCUGACGCAAACCUUCACCUAAACCCUCCACCCUCCCCACCACCACCACCACCAGGAUGGUCCCUGUCCAUACCUCCCAGGGGGGUCGGCUAUGCCCAUGCCUUCAUCUUCAGGCAGGAAAUGCAGAGUCCGCAACCCUUUAGGAUCUGAGCUACGGAUGGGGCCUACACCAAAGAACUUUCUUACAACAUUUUGCUUGCUGAUUGUUAAUAAAUAUGGUUGUCACAUUA